CUUUAACCGUCUGGAAAACGGUAAUAUAAGAGACAGCCAUGGAUAACGUGUUUCCACAAAGCGGAUCCACGCGAAGUCUAGGUUUCUGUGGUAGUCAUCAUAAAGUACCACCAGAGUCGAUCACCCUGCUUUUGACCGUUAUUAUGGCUCGACGCAUCGGAGUUCUUGUUCUGAUCUUCGCUUUGUUUGCCUAUGGUAUCAUGGCCGCUCCAAAGAAUAAAGAAGCUAGCGAACGAAGCCGCACAGAUGCUUACGCGGAUGUCGCUCGGGCUCCCGAAGAAGCAAGAAUCUCAGCCGACCAGCUGGGUACCGUAAUCGGUACAAACGCGCUGGGUUGAAGUAGAUGAAGUUGUUUUCACGACUUGAAGCCCACUUACGGGGCAACUUCGGUGUUACGCUUUAAUUUUUUUAAUUAUCAGCUCUAUGUCAAUAAACUGAAGUAAACUUAAGGUUA